AUCCAGCUGACGAGUCCCAAAUAGGACGGAACGCACGUCCUGGAU
rfam:Schistosoma rodhaini strain Burundi genome assembly, scaffold: SROB_scaffold0017092